GAGCGCCGUAGCAAUACGGAGCGGCAGACGGGAGAGUAACACGUGGGAACGUGCCCUUCAGUUCGGAACAACCCAGGGAAACUUGGGCUAAUACCGGAUACGUCCGUAAGGAGAAAGAUUUAUCGCUGAAGGAUCGGCCCGCGUCUGAUUAGCUAGUUGGUGGGGUAAUGGCCCACCAAGGCGACGAUCAGUAGCUGGUCUGAGAGGAUGAUCAGCCUCACUGGGACUGAGACACGGCCCAGACUCCUACGGGAGGCAGCAGUGGGGAAUAUUGGACAAUGGGCGCAAGCCUGAUCCAGCCAUGCCGCGUGGGUGAUGAAGGCCCUAGGGUUGUAAAGCCCUUUCGGCGGGGAAGAUAAUGACGGUACCCGCAGAAGAAGCCCCGGCUAACUUCGUG
rnacentral:rRNA from 1 species